rnacentral:tRNA from 1 species
GUUAAUGCAGCAAAGCUUGGUAUUGCAAAAGGCCUAAGCCCUUAAAAUGGAGGUUCAAAUCCCCCCUAUAACU